UCAGGGCUCGGGGGCCGCGGGGCUGCGCUCCCGGGCGCGCCGGGCUCGCUCCGUGCCACGGCCGCUCCGCGCCCCGCCUCCUCCGCCAGCUCCUCCCUCUGCGGGCGGCGGCGGCCGGCUCGCCCCGGGUCCGCGGUGCCCCCAGCAGACCGACCCCCGCGCGGGAGGCUGGAGAGAAACAACGAGAGCCAGAAGAUGGGCGCACGGGGGACGCCGGGCAGAAGUGCCAGUGCGCCCAACUUGCUCUCCACAUCCUGACAGACCACUGUCACACCAGAAUUACAGCAUAUACCACAAUCAAGUUCUUCGGUCUGCUUUUUAACCACUGUUAGACUUCAAUCAAAAUCUUGAACUCAGAAAUAAAUAAAGGUUCCAACCUGAGCUCAUAUAUAAUCUAAACACAUUGAUAGGACCUGGUGUCACCCUGAAGAUCAUCCCCGACAUGGCUACAAGCCCCAUGGAGUCCACACACAGGUUACAUGUGAAUUAGAAAACUAGAAACCUAUUGAAAGUCAUUCCUCAAGUGUUUCUUACCCAUGCUACAGUCAACCAGACCUAAGGACAAAAGAAAAAUACGUUACUGAUUUCAGAGUGCACUAGGUAAUUUGGGGUUUUUGUUUGGUUUGGGCUUGUUUGUUUGUUUGUUUGUUGAGAGAAGGUUUCACUGUGUAGCCCUAGAUAGACAGGAACUCACUGAGAUCUGCCUGCCUCUGCCUCUCAAGUGCUGGAAUUAAAGGCCUUUGGCACUAUGCCUGGCUCCUUGAUUUGUCUUUAAUCCUAAACUAACUUUAACGAUCCAGAAAGGCCCCUGCAAUGUUAAAGAGAUACUGAAUUAAUUAAUCUUGUUUGAAGUGUUAAAUUGUAUGGAAAGCAUUGUAGUACUAAACCUUUUGGGGUCGAGGGUGGGAUAUAGCCAAAGCUGGCCCCAAACUUGUCCUUAUCCCGCCUCAGCCUCCAGUGUACUAGGACCAUAGGCAUACACCACCCCGGUACCAAAUUUUAAACCAUACUUUCACAUAAUGUCAAAAUACAAAUAUUAUAAACGUGUGUAAGAUUCCUGGAAAUUGGACUUGUUUUGGCACAAUCCUAUCAGUUGUCUAAGUCCGGCUGUGUUGAAAUCUUGUAAGCCACAAAAAGAAACCCAAUCCUUGCCGACUUUGUCACCAGCUUUCAGCCAUAGCUAUUUGGAGUCUUGCCAAGUGUACAGUUAUUAUUGUCAUUCUUCUCUAAAAGUAUGUGCAAUUAGCUGCAGCCCAAAAUCAUUUAUCCUUCAAAAACACUGUUGGACUCAGACAAGUACUAUGGAAUCUAGGUUCCCAGUAACUUCAAGAUCAUACCACUAGCUUGGAGGAGAAUUUUCAAAACUGUAAUGAAGAAAUGAACCAGCAAUGGUGGCCUGAGCCUGAAGUCCUGACAGUUCGGAGGUUGAGUCCAGAGAACUGCUUGAACCCAGGAGUUCAGGGCCAGCCUGGGCAAUAACACUGAGAAGAGGUGGGGGCAGGAGGAGGAGAGAAAGAACACGAAAAGGCAAAUGAGAGAGAAGGGAGGGAAGGGGAGAGAACAGAGAAGAAAAAGAGGAGAGAAAAACAGACUAAAGAAGAAGAGGAGAAGAAAAAAAUACCUGCUGGUUUGUUCCAAACACUAACCACGUCCAAGCAAAACAAGAAGUAGGGACAUGGGUCUGGACCUGAAAUUCUAGCGCUCUGAAGCGGAGGCAAGAGGGUCACUGUGAGUGCAAGAUGAGCCUGGACUACACAGUGAGUUCCAGGCCUUCUGGGAUGUAGAAUAAGACCCUGUCUCAAAAUAAUAAACAAACAGAAAAAGAAAUCAUGACACGAAA